GGGGCUGUAGCUCAGAUGGUUAGAGCAGUGCCUUGUCACGGCAAAGGUCGUCGGUUCAAGUCCGAUUAGCCCCG
rnacentral:tRNA from 1 species